UACGUAGGCAGCAAGCGUUGUUCGGAGUUACUGGGCGUAAAGGGUGUGUAGGCGGUUCUUUAAGUUUGGUGUGAAAUCUCCCGGCUCAACCGGGAGGGUGCGCCGAAUACUGAGGGACUAGAGUGUGGGAGAGGAAAGUGGAAUUCCUGGUGUAGCGGUGAAAUGCGUAGAUAUCAGGAGGAACACCGGUGGUGUAGACGGCUUUCUGGACCAUAACUGACGCUGAGGCGCGAAAGCGUGGGGAGCAAACAGG
rnacentral:rRNA from 1 species